ACUCGUUCCCAUGCCGAACACGAUCGUUAAGCUCUUCAGCGCCGAUGGUAGUUGGGGGUUUCCCCCUGUGAGAGUAGGACGUUGCUAGGU
rnacentral:rRNA from 1 species